GAUAGCUCAGUUGGUUAGAAUGUGGUGCUGAUAAUGUUGCGGUUGCAGGUUCAAUCCCUGUAUGAGGAUGCG